UUUGCGAUGGUCGCAACGGUUGAGCUCUCUUCCAACGUUCUGCCAUUGGUGCGCACGGAGGAUUGCGAUGGCGGAGUAAGGAGGCCUUCGUCCUCCGGGCUUUGCACAUGGCGCCGAUGAGGGGCCUAAAGCUCAGAGUUUUGUUGGGUCCCAAAUGUGGGAUGGAAUAAACUCCUUGGAGGUGAUUCUGUCUCGCGACGUGCACUAUUUGCUCUCCUCUGGGAAGCUGCAAGAGAACACCGUCUUCCGGCUGCUGGAGUUCAAGUGGACGGUCCAGUGAGUCUUCAAUUUUUCGAUUGCAAUCUAUUAAUUUCUCGAGUCUCCUUAAUCUUCUAAAAAAUGAUUGAAAUGGGAGGUAGAUUAGGUCAUGAAUUAUCGAUGGUUGAUUCCCUUUGGCCAUCUUUGAUAGGGCCUACCGAAUUAGGUUAGAACUAUGCAAUUUCAUUGAUGUAGGAUCAAGACUAACAUGUUCUUGAGAUGAAACAAUGUUGUAACUUUGAUAUGGUCACCAAUGUGCUGCUGAGGAAGCAACACUGUCCAGUUAUCUGUUCCUGUAAGGAUGUGAAGUAUUGUUUUCUAGUAUUUUUGGUGUAGUAAAAUGUAUGUAAUCGAUGACAAGUUUUUAAUUUCUCUCAGAAUUUUAGUUGCUUUUGAUGUUGAAUUAAUAUGCUAUCUAUUGCCAAUUACAUGUAUGGAUUGGUUUACUUUGUGUAAAUUUUCAAUGAUUGUUUGUUAAAUCCUCUUCUUGCUGCAAUCUUUACUUUUAUUUGUUGCGGUAUGCUCUAAACUUUUCUUCAUCGACAGUAGGGCUAUAAUCUCGCAAGAUAUUGAGAUCCUAGAUGAAAUUUUUUAUUUUUCCGACUUCACACUCCCGAGCACUUUGAGCUGUCAUCUUGAUGAUUCUACAUCCAUAGAACCAUCUCAAGAAACUUAAGAUGAACCGUCAGGCGGUGCAAAUAUCUAUUCCUUCUCUAAUACUACUGUUGUGGCUGAGUCAUUUAUCACAGGAGAGAAACAUUCUCUAAAUGCUAGUAAUGUAGAUGAACAUGAACAUGAAGAGCUUGAUAAUGGAUUUUUAGCUGGUUCAAUAAGACCUGAUGCAGAGAAUUAUGGCCUUUCCUCUGGAGUGCUAUGGGAUAUACUAAAUGGGAAGCAUCAUACCUUGCCUGUUCUUCAAGUUUGUGAUUGCUUCAUAGAUUAUUAGGGAAACCAAAUGCUGGUGCUCAGCGAUGGAGAUAAUAAAGAGUUAGUACUGCUUGUUCCUCAGUUGAAGCAUCUCAUCCUGAAAAGGGUGACAUUGUUCAGGUAUACUAUCAUAAUCGGAAUGGAUUUUAUAGAUUACAUUGCAGAAAUCAUGAACCUGAAACCCUUAAUUGAGGAUGCAAUGGAUAACCCACUUCCUUCAGAGGAGCUUCUCCAUAUGCACCCUUAUUCUUCUUAUCUUGGUGAUCAACUCAAUGGAUCUUGACCAAUGCCCAGCACUGCUGACUACUUCUCGAUAACACCAUCUUAUCCGCCUCAAUCGAGCAAUGCUUAUGCAGAUUUAACGUAUCCCAAUUAUCCUUUAUAUGAUAGCCAUCAGCCACAUCCAUGGCAUUUGUAUCCACAGACGGAAGCAAACAGAGAUUAUGUUUUAGGGAUGGCUCAACAGAUAGAGCAGCUUCAUUUUGAGCUGCAGAACUGAGGUCAGAGCUGCACUCGAUCUGUGACAGCCAUAAAUUAUAGAUGGUACAUGUUGAUCGAAGAUGAAAGAAGACAUGACUAAUCUUGAAGACCAGGUUCAGUUGUUACAGAAGGAAGUCGACGAAAAACUUACAUUGGUAAAAUAGGCUAUGAAGAAUAUAUCAGAGAAUUGA